CGCAGGCGGUCAGAUAAGUCGAAUGUGAAAGCCCCCGGCUCAACUGGGGAGGGUCAUUCGAUACUGUUCGACUCGAAGGCAGGAGAGGGAAGCGGAAUUCCCGGUGUAGUGGUGAAAUGCGUAGAUAUCGGGAGGAACACCAGUGGCGAAGGCGGCUUCCUGGCCUGUUCUUGACGCUGAGGCGCGAAAGCUAGGGGAGCAAACG
rnacentral:rRNA from 1 species